UUUUCUUUAUUUUUUAUUUUUAUUUUUUGCUUUUUUAGGCCUGUACCCAUAUGCCUAAAGUUCCCAGGCUAGGGGUCCAGUCGGAGCAACAGCAGCCAGCCUAUACCACAGCCACAGUCACACCAGAUCCGAGCCAUGUCUGCGAGCUACAUCACAGCUCACAGCAAUGUUGGAUCCUUAACCCACUGAGCAAGGCUAGGGGUGGAACCCGCAUCCUCAUAGAUACCAGUCGGAUUCAUUUCCACUAAGCCAUGACAGGAUCGCCCAUCAUCAGUGCUGUUUUGAAUGUUUAGCAUAAUGCCUAGCUAGCACUUAGUAAGCACUUAAAUUUAUUUUUGAAUGAUUGAGAAUGACUGAAUUGAUAAGUAAAUGAAACGUAGCAUCACAUACAUUAAAUAUUUUAAUGGUCAGUGAAGUGGUUAUGAGUAUAUCAAUACCUUUGUUGUCCUCAGCAGACUGUCAAGCAGUUCUUCAGCAUGUAGAAGUUAUGGUAAGUGCAUAGUGAAAAAAAUACUUUGCUGUCCAGUUUACUCAAGUAACAAAUGCAUUGAGUGCUUCCCACGUGUAUCAUUUCUUGUGGCAGCUAUUGUGGGGACAAAGAUGAAUAGGCAGAGCAGUUUCUCUCUAGGAGCUUCUAGUUUUAGAGGAAUCAGCUAUAUGCAUGCUUUGUACAUAGAAAGCUAUACAAAGUAGAGUUGCAAUUAAAAGGUGGGAGCAUGACAGAGAAAUUUUGAUUAAAGAAUGUCUGAGAUGGUUUCUUAGAGGAAAGUGGAACUGAACUAAUAAGCCUUGAAGAUCAUGAGGAGCAGAUGGUUGUCUACUAUGGGGUGGAGAAAAGCAGAGCUGCAGAAUUCCCUAAAUUGCAGUCCCAAGUUAAUAGAAGUAUACUAGAUUUUCUUCUAUUCUCUUAUGAAUUUCCAGCAACAGCUUGAUUUUAACCUCUGUGGAAACACAAAUGAGGGCUGUGAUGGAUACAAUAAUGACUAAAGUUAAAUUAUAACUCCAAGUCAAAAUUUUAAUCACAUUCAGUCAAUGAAUAGGAAAUAAGAUAGAGUAUGCAAAAGGCUUUAUAACUUUUUAAUUCUAAGGUAUUAGAAAUAUAAAAUUUUAUUAUUAUUCAUAAUGUGUAAGGUUUCUAUGGUAUGAAAUGAAAUUUAGGGGAUAAGAGGAUUAGGGACAGAACAGGAUACCUCACAUAUGUCUUGUAACUUAUAGUUUACAAAGUAUCUUCCUGAAUUAUUAUCUUGUUAUAUUUUCACAACAACCCUUAAGGUUGUAGAACUGGUAUUAUUACUUCCAUUUUACAGUUGAAGAAAAUGAAGUUCUGAGUUAAAUGACUUAGCCAAGGUUACACAGUAAGUGUCAGAGCCAGGUUUUCCCAACAGGUUGUCCAGUUUUUUUCUUGUACCUCGUUAUUACCCAGAAACAAUGUAUGGGAAACAUAUAGUUAGACACAGCAUACAUCCUGGUUCUAAUUUUUUCCAAAGGUUUUCCUUUUUUUUUUUUUUUUUUUGUCUUUUUAUCUUUUUAGGGCCCCACCUAUUGCACAUGGAGGUUCCCAGGCUAGGGGUCCAAUAGGAGCCGUAGCUGCCGGCUUAUGCCACAGCCACAGCAAUGCCAGAUCUGAGCCACAUCUGCAACCUAUAAUAUAGCCCACAGCAAUGCUGGAUCCUCAACCCAUGAGCAAGGCCAGGGACCAAACCCGCAACCCCAUGGUUCCCAGGCGAACUCUCUUCUGUGCCAUGACAGGAACUCCCCCAACAGUUUUCUGUUGAUAAGAGUUUUGUAUCCACAUUUCUUCCAUUUUGGCAUGGGUAAAAUAUACAAGACUAAAACCAAGGGAGGCAUGCAUAGACAAGAACUGAUUAUUUUGGUAACUGAUAGGGAUAGGUAAAUCAUAAUAGGUCUAUGGAUUGAAAGAAUUUUAAUUUAUUUUCUUGACUUUUGAGUUAAAGAAAAGAUUUCAAUGUGAUGGUGCAAAAUAUGCUGCAUAGAACUCAUCUUGGAGGUAACCAAAGGGCUGUGGGACUAACAGCUUUUGAUAUUACUUAGUGCUUAUUAUUGUUAUUAUUAUUAUUUCUUUUUAAUUAUGCAAAGUGCUAAUCAGUUUGAUUAUGCACAGUGCUAAUCAGGUUAAUUAUGCAAAGUGCUAAUCAGUUCUUCUUGAAGCACACGAGGAGAGCAGAGGUGCUGGCGGAGAAUGGCGUAAGCUAGAUGGGGGUAGUCACGGCAGUCAUUCCUUAUUAAGAUAGGAGUAUACAAGAUAGCAAGGGGAAUUUAUCCAUAAAAAUAAAGAGGAAAGGAAAGAUAACUAUGAGCACAGGAAAGAUUGUGGUUUGGGCAGGGUGGUGCUUACGCAUAGAAAGCUGUUUUUUCCCCCUGUUGCAUAGUUUGGUUAGAUAGUCUCUGCUAUAUUUUGAAGGCACUCAUUUGAAGCCAAAAAGACUGCAGAGGGAAAGAAACAGAGUAUUGUAUAGCUAGACAAGUUGUCAAAACAACUUAUUGUAGUUGGCAAGCACCAAUUCCUGGGAGGACAGUAGAGGAAGUAGAAUCUAAUAGACCUAUACAUGAAAGAGGACAUCAAUAAAGAGAAUUGAAAAAUUAAGGGAGUGCCAUUCUGAUAAAAUAAACAGGGCCAUCUCACCACUGUAUUGUUAUUGGGAUGGCUGUCUGUGUAGCAUAUAUCCUGAGGUGAACUGAGGGUUUCUUGGUGCUGGCAGUGGUCUCAACUGAGAAUGGUGAUGACGAAUAUGACAAUAAGGGUUUUAUGUAAUAGCUCCUAGUUGGAUCAGCUUUGUUGCUGCUGAAAUCAAAGUGAAUUUUAAUAUUAACUUGCAGGUCUGUGCUUAUUAAGCUGGGUGACUUCCUGUGAAGAUGAGUUUAUAGCAAUAUGUUCAUAUGUUUUUAUAGAACAAUGACCAUGGAGCUCCCCUAGGAAAGCCCUUUUAUUCAGUCCUCCUGUUCUAUUCUGUAGUUUGAUAAGCUAUCAAUGAAAUGCUGUGAUACCUACUUGUUUGAAUGUAUUCAAAGAGCAGAAAGCGUUUCAGGAUUACUAAGUGAAUAGUCAGUUUAAAAAAAUGUUUUUAGUCCACAUAACUUUUCUUUUAGUCUGGAAUUUGAGCUGGAGAUUUAUUAAAUCAUUUAUAUAAGGAGGGCCUGCUUUCUGCUUUAUAACCUGACAAUCAGGGUGUUUAUUUAUCUUCCUUUUUAAGCCUAUGACUAAGCACAACUCAUCUUCACAAAUGCAUGUAGUGAGUUUGAUUUCUAGAAAUGUCCAAAUAAUGGUAAUAAUGCUGCAGAGGCCAAGUCAUUGGUGAUAACUUCAGAAAGGAGCAUAUUAGUGAGGUGUUUGUCCAUAUAGCAUUGGUACUUGGAAUAAGGACAAGCUUUCAGUUUUCAUUUUUUCUUUAACCAAGACCAAUUACAUUUUAAAAUAUGAAGAGAAUGACAUAAAUCUUUGGUUUCCAAGGAGAGUUUGGAAAGGAAUAGAUUGUUAGAGGACAGCGCCCACAAAUUGAGAAAGCCUGUUGGGGGCCCUUCAAGAAUUUGGCUAGAAAAUUCUGUUAUAAGCAAUCUGUCUGCUCAGCUUCAUGGGAACAGUGUUUUAUAAAUGAAACAUUGCUUCUGUACCCCCCGCCCCAUGUAAGGUAAGGUUGGAAUAUUCAUAUUACCAUUUUAUCAAAGUCUUUUGAAUUAUUUCUUGAUAAGCUUAAAAAAAUUCUUAGUGAUUCUACUCAAAGGAUACCUUGCAAAUUUCUUUUGCUGAUAGAUACGAAACUCUUGAUUCCUGAUAAAAGCAUUUGAACCCAAAGACCUUACUAUGUAAGUUUGAAUCCUGGCUCUUUCAAUUAUUAGCUGAGGAAGUCAAAACUGCUUUGAGCAUCUGUUUCUUCAGAAUUCCUACCUCACAGGGUGACUAUAAGUAUUAGGUGAAAUAAACUGUUUAAGUCACUGAACUCAAAUCCCAGUGGCACACUGAAGCAUAGCUUUGCUCCAUAGUCAAUCUCUUUUUCAUUUCUUGCAACUGUAGUCUUUUGGCUUGGC
rnacentral:lncRNA from 1 species